rnacentral:lncRNA from 1 species
CCAACCUAGUCAAUGUUACUUCAUCUGUGGAAUUUCCUUCAAAUAGCUGCUCAUGGUCCUUCAACCAUGAUGUGAAACGAUGUUUUUGCUCUUUGAUGAUCCAAUCCUUUGAGCGACCAUUACUUUGUCCACGGACCUCAUUUAGGUGUUGCUCAAUGAAGGGCUCCACUAUUGCGAGCUGUUGUAGAACGCUUGAAUGCGCUUUCUCCAAUUGCUGGUUGUCCUUAUCUAUGAAUCUUUUCAUUCCAAUGGUACCUUUCCC